AGUGGUGAAUGGUGGUGGGAAGAAGAGCUGGAGUUGAAGUCAGCGAUCCAAGGUGCUUGGGAAGAUUAAGCAGGUGUAGCACAAUCCAGAAGAAAAGAAAUAAGAAAGAGGGAGAUGGGAAGGAGAAUAUAGAGACAGAACUGGGAAUAACAGGUAUUACUGCUUGAGAAGCAGUGUCAGACAAUGCUGGAAAACAGAGGAUAAAGCACAAAGAAGGCGUUGGUCCUUUGGCUGGACUUCAGUAUCUCCCUAGGACAUCAGGAGAACAAAGUGUUGAGAUUAACAAGAAAUCUGUGAAAGCAAAAGCAAACACUCAGGGUGUGUUUAUUAAAGCAACUUAAAGAGCAGUGUAACUUAUCCCUGAUGGCAGAACAGCAUGGGGGAUGCAGCAUCUCUGCCCUCCAGCACACCAGCCCUGCAGGGCCAGAGGCAGAACAGCUCCUGGGUGACAGUCCCAUCAUGUGCUAUUACAAACAGCCCCAUGAUCUGGUUCAAAAACUGCCAAACUCUGUCAGAAGAAUAGUUUGGUUGGUCCCCCUCAAUGCACAGCAGCUAUUAGGCAGCCUUAGGACAUUCCUAUUUGGGUGGUUAGAAAUCUUCUGGACUAAUUCUUUUCUGGGCCAAUUUAUACCACUUGUUUUUUCACCAGAACUGGCUUUUCACUUACAUAGUUCUCCCCAGUGUUUCCCUCCCUGCUGUAUUUGUAGAAAGCAGUCAUGUUCCGUUGCAGCCACUCUUCUGCCAGGCUAAACAAGACUCGUUAUGAAACAGGACAUUAUAAAAUAGGUUCUCCAUUCCUGUGGUCCUUCAGAAAGUCCUUCCUUUCACCUAGUCCACACUGAAUUUGCCUUUUCUGAACUCAAUCAGUUAGAUGUGAUCACAGAUUUCCAGAGGGGAUUGAUGGGUGGCAGCAUUUGCUUGGGACCGUAGCUGCACACUACAGGCCUCUGAGACCCACUUUCAGCUUUGCCAGUUAUUACACUCUUACAGCAUCCAUAGUUUCUAUCAGUCACGGUUCCUACAUCCCAUUCCUGCUCCUCCCAAUGGAGUACUUGAUGGAAUGUGGGUUUUCAGACUUAGCCGUUGCCCCCAACAUAGGUAGGACCCUACAGAUCUUCUGGCUGGUGAUAGCUUGCCUUUAGGAAGGCCCUAAUUUCCACUCAUUCUUACUUCUAGAAAUGUGGAAACCCUUUGCACAAGACAGGUUGGAUUCAUACCUGCAUUUAAAAUGGCAGCUCUCAGCUCCUGACUACUUUUGGAUUUGCCACCUGUGUCCAAACACAAUGUUUGGAGUCCAACAAAGGGACAGAAGAUGUGUUGCACACUGAGCAGCACUUUUGGGCUCUGUAAGAGAUCCCAAGCACACCAUCCCUCCAGCAAUGGUAUGAACAUAGCGCUAGUUUCUCAGCCAUACCUUUGCAAGGAGCAUUUACUGCUAUGCUUCCCUUGGAAAGACAGAAGCGGGGUGGUUUUUUUCCUUAAAAAUCAGAACAAAACAAUUUAUAUGUUCAAAAUAAAGAAGGUGUGAUCUAUCCUUAUGACCCUUAUUGCAGUUUGUCUUCAAGAGGACUUAAUCUUCAACCUGCAUAUUCCAGGCAUGGGAGCACUCUUGCAGUGACUGCAAAUGUUCUUCCUGACUUAUAUUACUUUCCUUACUUAUAAAAACUAGUUCACCACAUUUUUGUUUCACCGCUGUUGUACUCACAGAGUCAUUGAAGAGACUUCUGGAGGUCUGUGGUCCAACCACUCGUUCAAAGCAGGGCUCCCUCUAAGUAGCAGUUGGUGGGCUCAGCCAUGGCUUUAUCCUACGAAGCUAUGAAAACCCUUAAGGACAGAGAGUCCACUGCCCCCUGUCUGGCUAAGGGGCUCAGCUUGGUCACAUAGAGGAAGCCCUGAAACCCCAUGGCCAGCGCUUGGGCAUGGCCAAACCCUGCCAAAAUCAACACCUUGAGCAGUUCAGUCCAUCAGCUCAUCCAUGAGGCUGCUCAGGCAAGAUCUGCCCUUGAGAAGCUUUCAUUGCCUGUUUCACAAAGGGAGAACAUACAGACGGACACUUACUUAGAGUGUCUUCAACACUGAAGUCUCUCACCCAGAACAUCCAAUUUUAUCUAUUUAAAAAACAGAUCAUUCUAAUUUGUCUUCUAAUAAAAACAAACCCUUCAAAGUCAACUCUCUUCUGGUUUGAUGUGCUAGCUUUGGGAACAGUUUGCAAGUGGAUCUUCAGUAAGGCUUUGGCUCUGCUUUGGUCUCAUCACAGACCAUCAAACCUGCCCUUGUCACACCUCUGCUCUCCUGCUACACCUAUCAGAAGGAUUUGGCUGGAGAUCAUUAUAGUCUCUGCUCACUUCUGAGACCCCUCCACGGAGUCAUCUGUCUCACUGAAAAUGAAAAGAAAAGGUGUUUUUUGUCUGGUCUUAGUCCAUAAUUAGAUUAUCUUUAGCAAUUACUCCACUCUGGUGAACAGAUAUACUUUUACCCUGUUCUCUUCUUAAUUGUGAUAGAAAUCUUUUACUGUGAUACGUCUUUUGCCUUGCUGUGUUAACUUUUCUCCCUAAUGUCUCGCUAGAUCAGAACAACAUCUGUGUACACCAUGGAGGCCAUGGUUGCCAUCACUUUUUUAUGAAUGGACCUCUACCAACCUUCAGCAUUCUGCGCAGAACACCAUGUACAGGCAAGGUUGGAAGUCCACAGUUAUUCCUCCACUUGAGGAAAACAAUCCAGUAACUUUGGGAAGAGGGAGAUGGAAGCAUCUGGGAAAAGAGGCCAGAACAUUUGGACCAUAAGUGGCUUGGGCAUGUGGGAAUCUAUUGCUUCUUCUAAUGAACUAAUUGGAGCUUGUUCAGAAGCUUAGGUUUCUAAGAGACUGUUUUCCCUGUAGCUGUAAUCCCAGAGGCAGAGAACAAAGAGUUAAAUUCAUUAACCUU